UCCUCCCUCUUUCUUCGUGCCUAAUACAUGCAAGUAGAACGCUGAAGAGAGGAGCUUGCUCUUCUUGGAUGAGUUGCGAACGGGUGAGUAACGCGUAGGUAACCUGCCUGGUAGCGGGGGAUAACUAUUGGAAACGAUAGCUAAUACCGCAUAAAAUGGAUUAUCGCAUGAUAAUCCAUUGAAAGGUGCAAAUGCAUCACUACCAGAUGGACCUGCGUUGUAUUAGCUAGUUGGUGGGGUAACGGCUCACCAAGGCGACGAUACAUAGCCGACCUGAGAGGGUGAUCGGCCACACUGGGACUGAGACACGGCCCAGACUCCUACGGGAGGCAGCAGUAGGGAAUCUUCGGCAAUGGACGGAAGUCUGACCGAGCAACGCCGCGUGAGUGAAGAAGGUUUUCGGAUCGUAAAGCUCUGUUGUAAGAGAAGAACGAGUGUGAGAGUGGAAAGUUCACACUGUGACGGUAUCUUACCAGAAAGGGACGGCUAACUACGUG
rnacentral:rRNA from 1 species